rnacentral:lncRNA from 1 species
AUUUAUUAGCAUAUAUUAUGUGUUGUAUGUUAUAGGUUAAUUUUGUACAAGCAAAAUCACUUCAUUCUUUGCAGUCAGUUUUGUGAGGAUCAACUUGACAAUUAACUAUUUUAGAUCAGUGAGGAGACUCGAUUUCAUUUCAUAGGUAGUGUAAUCCUAAAACUUGCUGAGCAUACUAAACUGGAAUUUGUUCACCAAUGCAUUAUGGUCCACCAAGUCCCAAGACUCCUUUCAUGGAGCCAUAGGAUAUACUUGAAGAUGCAUUUAAAUGGUUAAAUCGGUUCUCUUAAUAUUGUAGAGAUGCCAUGCACUAUUGAUAUUUGAUUCACAAUUACAGCUCUUUAGUGGUUCUAUUUUCACUACCAGGACAAGCACUUUAGCCGACGAAAAAUUUUCAUCGGCCUGUUAGCUUAAUUCGUCGGCUAAGAUUUCGUCGGGAAAAGGUCGUCUGUGAUGACUUUAGCCGACGAAAAAAAAAAUUUCGUCGGCUAUAGUCCUGCAGUUUAGCCGACGAAAAACAUGUCGUCGGUUUUUUUCCCAGACUUUAGCCGACGAAACAAUUAAGAUAUUCGUCGGCUAAAGUCUGUAAUAAAAAUUUUUUUCCCAGACUAUAGCCGACGAAAUAUAGUAUGUUUCGUCGGCUAAACCUUAUAAAAAAAUUUUAAAAAAUAACCAUAGCCGACGAAAUAUGGUCUGUUUCGUCGGCUAAACCUUAUAAAAAAUUUAAAAAAUAACUAUAGCCGACGAAAUAUAGUCUGUUUCGUCGGCUAAACCUUAUAAAAAAAUUUUAAAAAUAACUAUAGCCGACGAAAUAUGCCAUAAUUCGUCGGCUAAACCUUAUAAAAAAAUUUAAAAAUACUAUAGCCGACGAAUAAAUCUUUAAAUAUCGUCGGCCAAACCUUUAAAUAUCGUCGGCUAAAGUUGCUGGUUUUUGAAAAGAAAAACUGCAGAAACUUUCGGCCACCUCCAAUUACCACCAAAAUUUGAUAGAAUCUUCUUCUCAACAUUUCGAACAACUUUCUAGAAGAAGUCGAAUCCCAAUUCUAAGCCUAAACAGGUCAAUUGAAUCAAAAUAUAAAAAUCCCCAAUUUUAAACCCUAAAAACUUCAAAUCUUCGAUUCUCCUCACACAAACCGAAUCGAGCUACCAAAUUCUAGGGGAAUGUAGUACUAAUCAAACUCAACUUAUCCAUAUAUAGAACUCACCAAAUGGUGACCUGAGGAAGGAGAAAUUCGAUCGACACCGAAUCCGAACCGGCGGAGUUUUGGAGCUCGAUUUAUCUCUCACGGCGGCGCCACUAGAUGCACCACCUAUCCAGCAAUGAAGUAGAGACGACGGCGAAGCUUUUGGGACAAGUGUGGCGGUCUCCGGUGACUUGACGGCGGUGCUAGGCUGAGAAGAAAAUCUGGCAGGCGAAAUAGACUUCUUACCAUCCACCUUCGGUAAUAUAAAGAACUUUAGCCGACAAAAUUCUUUAUUUUCGUCGGCUAAACUCUUUUGAAAAUUUUGAAAAUUUUGGUUGACCGCCAAAAAAUUUUGGUUGAAAAUUUUGAAAAUUUUUCGACUUUAGCCGACGACUUUUCAUAUAUUUUCGUCAGCUAAAGUCCUUUGAAAAUUUUCCUCCAAAUUUGGUUUACCGCCCAAAAAUUUUUGACCUUAACCGACGACUUUUUUAAUAUCUCGUUGGCUAAAGUCUAUAAAUUCACGAAAACGCUCAUAUCUCCCUCUAUAUUACGUAGUUUGGUCAAAUCUUCCACACGAAAAACUUUCACGUAGAUGAGACGCAACCGCCUAUAUAAAAAUUUUGAGACAUUUGCCUUUCGACGAUAGGGCUCCCCAUAGGGAAUAAUAACGGUAAAUAGGGUAGACACGUGAUUCCGAUGACUAAAAUUUACAAACCAAAAUUCGACCGUCCGAUAUGAUCAUUAUGACGAAAGAUGUCUAUGGUAAAAAAUUCAACUGGAUUCGACAACGUUAAGGGCUCGAUCGAAACGGUCAACUCUAAUCGGAAAUAAGAAAACUGCAUUUUGAAGCCCUAAACGGACUCGGAUGGCCAAAAAGGCCCAUACAUCAUGGCAUUAGCCAUGAGUUUGACUCGUAGGGCCGUUACGCUUUCGGAAAGGUAUCACAAUAGUCAAUUGGACACCAAAAACCAAAUCUGCAGCAUAGUAAAUAAUAAGGGUAAAUUGCAUUGACCGCAACUAUCGGCACCAAGACUUUACCAGAAUACCGUGAUUUUUCAACUGUAGACGUAUUUCACCAUUCUGGUAAUAUCUUAUUUCACUACUUUUUUGCGUUUGAAGGUUCUACGUAUAGUUUUUUUUUCCCAGAUGAGUUGUUGUCCAGAUCUGCAAAUAUAAGGCACUUUAGCCGACGAAAUUAUAUUUUUCGUCGGCUAAACUUUUAAAAAUUUCGUCGGCUAAAGUUCACAGACUAUAGCCAACGAAAAAAAUUAUUCAGACGACGAAAUUUUAAUUUCGUCGGCUAAAGUUGACC